rnacentral:rRNA from 1 species
AGCGAACGCUGGCGGCAGGCCUAACACAUGCAAGUCGAACGAACUCUUCGGAGUUAGUGGCGGACGGGUGAGUAACACGUGGGAACGUUCCUUUAGGUUCGGAAUAACUCAGGGAAACUUGUGCUAAUACCGAAUGUGCCCUUCGGGGGAACGAUUUUUCGCCUUUAGAGCGACCCGCGUCUGAUUAGCUAGUUGUUGAGGUAAAGGCUCACCAAGGCGACGAUCAGUAGCUGGUCUGAGAGGAUGAUCAGCCACAUUGGGACUGAGACACGGCCCAAACUCCUACGGGAAGCAGCAGUGGAGAAUCAUGCGCAAUGGGCGAAAGCCUGACGCAGCCAUGCCGAGUGAAUGAUGAAGGUCUUAGGAUUGUAAAAUUCUUUCACCGGGGACGAUAAUGACGGUACCCGGAGAAGAAGCCCCGGCUAACUUCGUG